GGUUAAAGCCCCUUCGGGGGUGUAUAAAGUGGCGAAAGGGCGAGGAAUACGUUUCCACGUACCCCGAGGUCGAGGAUAGCCCAGGGAAACCUGGAGUAAUACUCGAUGUGGUCCUUCGGGAUCAAAGGCUUCGGUCGCCUUGGGAGCGGGGAACGCCCUAUCAGGUUGUUGGUGAGGUAACGGCUCACCAAGCCGAAGACGGGUAGCGGGUGUGAGAGCACGACCCGCCGCAUCGGGACUGAGACACUGCCCGGACUCCUACGGGAGGCUGCAGCAACGAAUCUUCCGCAAUGCGCGAAAGCGUGACGGAGCAAUGCCGCGUGCAGGAUGAAGCCCUUCGGGGUGUAAACUGCUGUCAGGGUUCAGCAACACAAUGAGCAGACCCAAAGGAAGGGCCGGCUAACUUCGUGCCAGCAGCCGCGGUAAUACGAAGGGCCCGAGCGUUGCGCGGAAUCAUUGGGCUUAAAGCGUACGUAGGCGGACGAGCAGGCACCUUGUGAAAUCCCUCGGCUCAACCGAGGAAUUGCUUGGUGAACCGCUCGUCUUGAGGCAAGUAGGGGCUGUCGGAACGAUAGGUGGAGCGGUGAAAUGCGUUGAUAUCUAUCGGAACGCCAAAGGUGAAGACAGGCAGCUGGGCUUGUUCUGACGCUGAGGUACGAAAGCGUGGGGAGCGAACGGGAUUAGAUACCCCGGUAGUCCACGCCGUAAACGAUGUGCACUAGAUCGAGGGGGUUCUGACGCCAUUCUCGGUCGAAGCAAAAGUGUUAAGUGCACCGCCUGGGGAGUACGGUCGCAAGGCUAAAACUCAAAGGAAUUGACGGGGGCUCACACAAGCGGUGGAGCAUGUGGCUUAAUUCGAAGCAACGCGAAGAACCUUAUCCUGGGUUGACAUGCACGGAUUAGCUUCCUGAAAGGGAAGUGACACCUUCGGGUGGAACGUGCACAGGUGCUGCAUGGCUGUCGUCAGCUCGU
rnacentral:rRNA from 1 species